rnacentral:rRNA from 1 species
GACGAACGCUGGCGGCGCGCUUAACACAUGCAAGUCGAACGGAAAGGCCUGCUUUCCCUUGUGGAUUGCGGGUACUCGAGUGGCGAACGGGUGAGUAACACGUGAGUGAUCUGCCCCCAACUUGGGUAUAAGCCUGGGAAACUGGGUCUAAUUCCCGAUAGGACUGCAGGGUGGUGCCUGUGGUGGAAAACGAUUUUCUAGUGGUUGGGGAUGAGCUCGCGUCCUAUCAGCUUGUUGGUGGGGUAAUGGCCUACCAAGGCGGCGACGGGUAGCCGGCCUGAGAGGGUGGACGGCCACAUUGGGACUGAGAGACGGCCCAGACUCCUACGGGAGGCAGCAGUGGGGAAUAUUGCACAAUGGGCGGAAGCCUGAUGCAGCGACGCCGCGUGGGGGAUGACGGCCUUCGGGUUGUAAACUCCUUUCGACCGCGAGGAAGCCACCUGGUUGGAAGGGUGGUGACGGUAGUGGUAGAAGAAGCACCGGCUAAUUACGUG